UACGUAGGGUGCAAGCGUUGUUCGGAAUUACUGGGCGUAAAGCGCGCGUAGGCGGGUUUGUAUGUCGAUUGUGAAAUCCCCGGGCUCAACCUGGGAACUGCAGUCGAAACUGCAAAUCUUGAAUGUCUGAGAGGAUGGCGGAAUUCCCGGUGUAGUAGUGAAAUACGUAGAUAUCGGGAAGAACACCUGAGGCGAAAGGCGGCUAUCUGGCGGUACAUUGACGGCUAAGGCGCGAAAGCGUGGGGAGCAAACAGG
rnacentral:rRNA from 1 species